rnacentral:rRNA from 1 species
AGCCACCUUCGGGUGGUGGACAGUGGCAGACGGGUGAGUAACGCGUGGGAACGUGCCUUUCGGUUCGGGAUAACCCAGGGAAACUUGGGCUAAUACCGGAUACGCCCUUCGGGGGAAAGAUUCAUUGCCGAAAGAUCGGCCCGCGUCGGAUUAGCUUGUUGGUGGGGUAAUGGCCUACCAAGGCGACGAUCCGUAGCUGGUCUGAGAGGAUGACCAGCCACACUGGGACUGAGACACGGCCCAGACUCCUACGGGAGGCAGCAGUGGGGAAUAUUGGACAAUGGGCGAAAGCCUGAUCCAGCCAUGCCGCGUGGGUGAAGAAGGCCUUAGGG